UGAGGAAUAUUGCGCAAUGGAGGCAACUCUGACGCAGCCAUGCCGCGUGCAGGGAGAAGGCGCUACGCGUUGUAAACUGCUUUUAUCCGGGAAGAAACCCCUCCACGCGUGGAGGGUUGACGGUACCGGAGGAAUAAGCACCGGCUAACUUCGUGCCAGCAGCCGCGGUAAGACGAAGGAUGCAAGCGUUAUCCGGAUUCAUUGGGUUUAAAGGGUGCGUAGGCGGGCUUGUAAGUCAGUGGUGAAAUCUCUCAGCUUAACUGAGAAACUGCCAUUGAUACUGCAGGCCUAGAGUAUAGAUGACGUUGGCGGAAUAUGACAUGUAGUGGUGAAAUACUUAGAUAUGUCAUAGAACACCGAUUGCGAAGGCAGCUAACGAAACUAUAACUGACGCUGAGGCACGAAAGUGCGGGGAUCAAACA
rnacentral:rRNA from 1 species